AUUCUGAGCUGUACCAUGAGCUCAACCACUCGUCCAAGUUCCACACCAUAGACAGGUAUAGCAGGGACGCAGCCAUGUCCACAUUCAAGUUUGAAUGUAGCCAGACACUCAGCAGAACCAUGGGCAUCCAAGUCAACAAAGGACAAGUCAACCCCAGAGGACCAGAGCUCCUGGGACAGCUUCAAGACCAUGACCCCCGAGCUGUCCAUCGUGCCUGGGGAGCAGAAGGACCGAAUGGAGCUGCACAAUAAGAACUGGGACUCCUCUUCUGCCAACACACCCGACUCGUCUGAGGGAGACUUCCAGACUGAAGUGUGAAGACGCACAGAUGUACACACACUUGAAAACAAACACUCUUAUUCCGAGAUAUGGUACAGAUGCACACAGGGACACUGAACCUCUGAGAUGCUAUACAUAAGUACAUGAUUCACACACACAUACACACACACACACACACACACACACACACACACACACUGCUCCCCGUCUCCUGCAACGUGCACUGUCGGAUCCCAAAACUGUUUUUGUUUACUUCUGCAGUGGACAGACAUGGAAAGAAGACUGUUCUAUACUAUAUUUUCGCAAAGACUAUUGAAAAGAAAGAACAGAGGCUUGACACGUCUGUGGUUGAGGAAAACAUUUUUAAACGAACUUCAGAAAAAAAACUGUGAAAAACCUAUUUCUGAGAAAAAUUGUCUUGAUUUUAUUCUGGAGAAAAAAAAAAGAAAAAUCUCUGUCAAUUGUUUGAUGAUUUGGGGGUAUAAAAAAAAAAAGAAGAAUAUUUCUGCACCGUUCGGUUCUUUUUAUAGCAAGGGGAAGAAAAUCUCACUGAGGUUUCUCACACUGGUAGCCCCCCUAGGCACCCUGCUUCGUUUAUUUCCUGUUCCCUUCUAAUGGGUGGAGACAGCAUUCAAUCUCCCAGUCUUUCCCUUUUUUUCUUUUUGUUUUCAUAUUUUUUGAUGGAUAGGGGAUGGGGGGCAGGUUAACGCUGCUCAUUGAUUUGCCAUCCAGUUCAACAAUCCCAUCCAUGCAUUCCUCUCACAUCCUCUUCGUCAACAUUGUACCCCCCCCUUCCUUAUUUGGUGUAUUUUCUAAAUAUGUCCUCCCCUAUGGUUUGAAACUUUUAAUGAAAAAAUAAUACGAUUGAAACAAAUAACUACCAACUGAGUUGUGUUCUAUGGUCUAACUUUUGAAGAAUUUAUUUUCAGACUGGUUUGUUUUUUUAAAUUAUUUUUCCCUAAUUUCCUGUGAGAAUAAACCCAUGUGGAACUUAAAAAAAUGAUUUAGGACACACGCAGCACAAAUAUAUGAGCUUGCUUUCUGGGGUAAUGUGCGCCGCAUGUUAUCCAGCCAUGAGGGAAAAGAAGGAUAGUGAUCGUCAUGCAGAUUCUCGCAUCUUCCUGCUUUUUUUUUCUCCCCCACUGCUCGCAGAUAAAGGCCUUUAAAGAUUGCAGCAUCUGAAUCCAUUUCAGCCAUCACCAAUCACAGUGAUGCCAGAAAAGAUGAUAUCACAGUCAUUUUCAGCAGGAAUUGAAUCUGUGCUGGCACUGCGCAGCACUUCUCAUACCUCAAAAACGUAUCGCUUACAGUGAAGUAUUGAUCCGUUUAGCGGUUACCUCUUCUUUCUCCAAGAUCGUAAAAGCAAGCACGACAUCCUUUGCUUUCGUCUCACACCUCCUUCGCUUUGCUCUUUCUUUGUUGCUCAUCCAGCCCACCUAGCGUUGCAUUACAUGGGAAGCAUGAAAUCUUGAUGUUAGCAGUGGAGCCUGUUGUACAAUACCUCGAUCACAUGGAUCCCUCUCUCUGUGGUUGUAUGUAGAGCUUGUGAGCACAGCAGCUGCAGAAAGAGAGAGCGGAAUAGGACGACCGAGAGGGAGGUGACAAACUGAAGGGGGGAGAAAACAUAACUGGUGGUGAUUCUUCUUGCUUGAUAUUCUACAUCCUCACUUCAGUCGCUACAAGAGGACAACCUGGUUCCUGCUGUCGCUGCAUUAGCACAUAAAGUCCUCCACACACUGAGAGAGAGUCAGAGUGCAGGAUGAAAACAGUAAAACACCUGGAGAUAAACAAAGUGCUGUACAAAUUUUAGGUAAAGGCAAAGAAAUAUUAAGUAAAGUGAUAAAUAGUAAAGGCACAGUUAAUUGAAAAGGCAUGAAUAAAAACAGAAAACAAAGUUAAAUGAAUGAAUGAUAUAAAUAUAAAUACUUAAUAUCAGAUCAACUAAAGCCAGACAAACAAAAAAACGUGUUUUUCAGGGUAGUGCCAACCUAUGUAUGAAUUUGACUCUGUUUUGCCCUGAUGCCUUAUUGGAAACAUGAUAAUGUUAAGCAAGACAGAAGCUGCAUACAAACAACUUUGAUGCAAACUUUGGACAGGAAGAGCUGAGAGAUGGAUUAAAUAAGUUAUGGUUUGUUUUUUCAACAAGAGGUUGGACUAUGUGUGUAAAACAGGAUGGGACAGUUAAUUUAGCAAGAUAUAUAGUAAUGAUAGGAAAAGUUGAUCAUCUGACAAUGGCCAAUACUUUAAAAAAAGAGGACAUUGUUCUGACAUACAGUUGGACCCAAAUGUCUUGAAUGGAUCAACACUUGAAUGGGAAAGCAGUGAUGGCGCCAUGAUGGUACCUCUGUACCUUUUCUUUCUUUGUUCAAAGCAGCCCCCAUUAAUCCUAGAGUCUGGAGAAAGACAUGAGACAGUUUAAGACCGUGUAAGAAUAAAAUAAGUGCAAGAAAACAUGUUCUCUAAGGAAAAAAAGAUCCAAAAAUAUAUAGCGGGAAAAGCUCGAGACAGGCAGAUUUGCAGAUGAAGACGUGGGGGUGCUCAGAACUGUAAUUAUCCGGGGAUGGUGAUUUGUCCUGACAUUUUCCGAUGCAGACCUCAAACCAUCUGUUUAAAGAUCCCUAAUGUGGUAGUAGUGCGGCGCAGCGCAGAUGGCGAGACAAGAGUGUAGCCCCUCUAACCUUUCAAGCUAAUCAGCUGACGGGCAAACCUACAGCUCACCUCCCCUCAGAGGACGAUACUGUAGGUUCGGCCCCAAGUUGCCAAGUUGUGGUCGCGUUCACUCGACCUUCUGCGAGGUUCUCAAACCAGCCGUACAGUGCAUCAGCUGCAUGGCCCCAGUCAAAGAAGUAGCAGAAGAAAACAGUCUCAGGUGAAAGAGAUGCAGUCUCUACACUGACAAAUUCUAAGGAAGGAAGGAAGUGUGAAUUAACCGCAGUAUUAUUUUGUUGCAUCAUGGAGAAUUUCCAUAUAUUCAUCUGUCCUCAUUAUGUUUUCAAGCUCAAUGAGGACUGGAUAUUAACCUUUCAUCUCCAACAACGGUAAGUGUGGUGCUGUUCGACUGAUGGAGACAGAAAUUCUUGUUUAAAUGUGCCGCUACAGCCAAGGACCACCUGGCAACUUAUUUUCGAUGAGAAACUGUGAUGGGAUUAACAUGUUGGUCGGAGUGUGUCAAUCUUGUUUUUAUUUUUAUUUUAGAGGCCAAACUCAGUAAUAAAUACAAAACACUGAGGUCAAUUUACAAGUGAAGUCCGUGUGGAAGGCAAAUUUAAGAACAUUCAGUGCUCACCUUCACCACCACUCUUCUGCCUCCGAUGCUUAGAUGUAAACCGACUUGCUCCAGCCAUCCACGACUCCAGUGAUUUAUUAUUGAAAAACCCUCCCUUUCCUUC